rnacentral:lncRNA from 1 species
ACAUGUAAGACUGAAACAAAAUAACUAUAAGAAAACGGAGAGGAAAGUCUUGUUGAUUUUGGUCUCAGUAAAGAUGUUUUGGAUGUCACACCAAAAGCACAGCCUGAAAAAGUAAAACAGCACAGACUGAAAAGGUAAAGAGAAAAAGUAAAAAGAAAAAAAGUAAAAAGAAAAACAGCACAGACUGAAAAAGUAAACAGAAAAAGUAAAAAGAAAAAAAGCAAAAAGAAAAACAGCACAGACUGCAAAAGUAAAAAGCACAGACUGAAAGCCUUCAAAUAUAAAGGAGGCUUCAUCUAUUGCUUAAUUUUUCAAAAAGAUUACUACGAUAACAUUCAUCACAUACUUAAUGUUAGAAAUUACACACUUUAAUAUGUAGAUGUUUGUCACAGGGUACAAAGUUUCAGUAAGAAUGAAUAUAUUUUGGAGCUCUAAUUAUAGCAUGGUGACUAUAAUUAACAAUACUGUAUGGUGUAGUGUAUUUGAAGG